rnacentral:rRNA from 1 species
AUUGAACGCUGGCGGCAUGCCUUACACAUGCAAGUCGAACGGCAGCACGGGAGCUUGCUCCUGGUGGCGAGUGGCGAACGGGUGAGUAAUGCAUCGGAACGUACCCGGAAGUGGGGGAUAACGUAGCGAAAGUUACGCUAAUACCGCAUAUUCUGUGAGCAGGAAAGAGGGGGAUCGUAAGACCUCUCGCUUUCGGAGCGGCCGAUGUCGGAUUAGCUAGUUGGUGGGGUAAAGGCCUACCAAGGCGACGAUCCGUAGCGGGUCUGAGAGGAUGAGCCGCCACACUGGAAAUGAGACACGGUCCAGACUCCUACGGGAGGCAGCAGUGGGGAAUUUUGGACAAUGGGCGAAAGCCUGAUCCAGCCAUGCCGCGUGAGUGAAGAAGGCCUUCGGGUUGUAAAGCUCUUUCGCGAGGGAAGAAAGCGCACUGGUUAAUACCUGGUGUGGAUGACGGUACCUUGAUAAGAAGCACCGGCUAACUACGUGCCAGCCGCCGCUGUAA